rnacentral:lncRNA from 1 species
UUGGAAGCUUGAUUGCAAAACUCUGCAGGUUCUUGACAUCUAGGAAGCGAGUCAAAUAUUAUAGUAUGCAGCUAUGUAACUGCUUGAUUUAUUACAAGUAAAAUAAAAUGAUAAUAUUCUUUUACAAUUGGAAAGUCGUAUUGAUCGAACUAUUCUAAUCUUAACCAAAGCAAUGAGAAACAAAUAUUCUCUCAUCCUCUGACUGGCCUCCGACUUAUUCUAACCCCCAUCUUCCCUCUCUAAAUAUCUGCAUUUUCAUUUCAAGGCCAUGUUUUCUUACCAUUAAAUAGAUUCUUAUUUGAAUGCUCGAUGGGACAUCGUCCUUGAACAAACAUGGUUCUGGAACUAUCUAUAUUUGACGUCUUUUCUGUAUAAUGUGUAGAAAUUCAAUCUAAAGUCCCCAACUAGUACAUAUCAUACUCCAAAUUCCAUCCAAGCAAGAGAGCCAUUUGGACAGACUCAAACAGACACUGCAUAUAACAUGCUCGUAUAUGUGGACUUGACCCCAAAAAAUGAUGAAAAUCUAGGAUCGUACCAAUCCAAGCCACUGAUAUAUGCUGGAAGUUAUAACAAUGACUUGUGGUUUUGGAGAUCUCCGAUCACUAAAGAGUGUGCAAAUACAUUGUAUUGGCUUGAAACAAAUGUUCUCUUAUCAGAUAGUUUGGUAGUCGAUUAUUAGGGCUAUCAAAACAUUACUUAUUUGUAUGGUUUCUCUAUGUGUUGUUCAUUUAGACACAGUAGAGGACACAGUUGAGGACUGAUUUGAAGAGAAAAUCAAGUAAAUAUAUCAACAAAUGCACCAAACCUCGAUUAUCUCCUUCAGCCUCUCCUUCUCCUUCUUCUCCUUCUUUCCCAACUCAAUCGCGCUCCUCCUGCACAUCAUGACAAUAUCACACGUAAGCAAAUCGGAUUAAGAAGAUAUUUGAACUGAUCAGUUUUCUACUUACCUCCGCCACUCUCUCAGAGCAAGCCCCUCCUCAUCAAAGCCGUUUCCUCCGCCGGGUGAAUAGAUCGACGGCGGAGAUUGGGUCUCCGGAGACGAUGACAUGGUUUUCUUUUCUCUUUCGCUCGGACACUGGUUUUUCGCUCCGAAACGGCUUUGUGUGAGUCGGUUCGAAUCUUUUAAAAAAGCCGCCGUCACGAGGGGAAUAUUGAUAUUCUAUUACCAGGUCCAUAGUAACUUUGAGUUUCUAUUGGCUGGAAUGAGCUGCCCCACAGAGAUAUGUUUUGGCUAGCGAAUGGGAGAGUUACACGUUUCUGGGAUAGAUUCUCUAAAAUCUUCGCUCUUGUUCGUUUCCUUUGAUUGAGACGCUAUAAAAAACCUUCUCUGAGCUCUGUCUCAGCUCUCUACUGUUCAUAGUAGUACCCUGAGCUCUGUCUCAGCUUCCUGGCUUUUAUCUCACCUUCCAACUACCCAACCUUACUUACCUUCUAAGGAUAAUUUACUCCAAAUAUCGUCUCAUCUGUCUUUGUGUGAGAUUUCAAUGCUUCAUAACCAAUCCCUGCUAUUCCCCUGAAACUCCUUAAUUCUAAAAGGCGGAUUAAGUACUUCUCUUGUACCUGUGUGGCUGCAGAAUCCUCCUCUCCUGUUUUCAUUUGUUUUGUCUUGCUCAAGCUUUUAUUAGCUUUUCUAUCCACUUAUCUACCACAUUCAAUGAGGAAACCAACCCAAAUAGACUACAAAGUCCCAUUAAAGGAUCCUCACCGAUUCCACAUCAUUGAAGCUUUGUUACUUAUCCUGCUUCUAAUUCUAUCUCAAACAAUCUGUGUACUCUAUACUGGUUUUUCUGGAAUGGAAGAUUCACAAAAAUCUUCUGACAGCCUUGUGGUGCAGAUGAGGAGGAAGUUAUCUUUAUAUGAUUUGGACAGAAAGGUUAGAUUGAAUGCUGUCUUCUUUGCUGAUAAGAUCCCCAACAAGGUUACUAUUUGUAAUACCAUGAAGUCUGUUCUAGGAAGGUUUGGCAAUACAGGAGUAACUGCUAGUAACGAGAGGGAUCCAAAUGAUAAGAUGUUCAUAGUUACCGCAGAAGAUGCAGAUUCAGCAAAGGAUAUCCUUGAUGGAUCACCAUGGUCAAUUAUGAGAUAUUCUGUCCACUUCCAAGAAUGGCCAGAAACUCUUGCUAUAGAGGAACUACAAAGUAGCCAGAUAGCUUUCUGGGUGCAAGUUAGGGGUGUUCCACCCUAUAUGUUCGAAGAGGAAAAUGUCAGGGAGAUGGCUGAAAAGUUUGGAGAGUACAUGGGGAUGGACGACCCCAUUGAAAGAGAAGAAGGCACAUACAGUUUUCUCCGGGUUAGAAUCCUUCUUGAUGCUCGUGAUCCUCUUCCCACAGGCUAUGAGCUACCAAGAGAUGAUGGAACCAAGAAGUGGGUUAGUUUUGCUUUCGAGAAAUUUUCUGAUUUUUUUUAUGUAUGUGGGAAGACUAGGACACUGAUUUACCUAAAUCUCCAUGCCCUCAUGGAGCUGAUCCGGAGAGUGAAAAUGAGUAUGGUGAUUGGUUGAGAGCAUUACCACCUCGGAAGCAAAUCAGGAAUGAACAUUCUCAGGUGAAGACUGCAAGUGGCCGGAAUAGAAGGAGAUUUCCCGGCCAAACAAUCCGGCCAAUAGAAAGCAAUGAUAACAGCCAUAAUUCAAAGCCCCAAGGAGCCUCCUCAAGUCACAUCAGAGAGUCUCAACCCCAAGGAAAGCAUGCAGUCCCUGUCAGACUACAACUUUCUAACACAAGAGCCAAUGUCUCUGCUGUCAACCAUGGUGAUAGCAACUACACAAGGGAGCUCUCAACGGAACAAUUAAGGUACCCCACUACCCCAGCUGUUUCAAACCAUAAUAAUAUUUUCAUGUCCUCCCCCCCACCUGGAUUUGAUCCUAUCCUAAACAAUAUCUCAAGUACCUUUUUCCUUGAACAAACUCAGAACGUGACAAAUGGGGGUAAUGUUGGCUAUCCAUGGUUUGUUAAUCAAGGAAUGAGUCCCAGUAAUGUCAACCCAGCUGCACUUGCCACCCUUUUUUCAAGAUCUUUUCCCCAAAUAGUCUCCAUACCCCACACCACCAUAUGCUACCUUUUCCAAUGCUUCACCACCCAUAAUCACAAACACAAAUAUUCAUAACCCUAUCCCCAUACCCAUUCAAGCCCAGGCGAAGAGGCCCCUUCAGUCUGAUACUGCCCAUAUUCCCUCUAGAAGGAAGAUAAGGAAAUUCACCAAAUAUCGCACCUCUGGAACCGAGACCCUUGUGUCGAAUACUGAGGCUGUGACUGAUGGAUGUUCAACGAGUGAAAGCGUUGAAGGUGGUGGUGGCUCGCCUACAGCCACAAGGUCUCCAUGAUACAACUCAGUUGGAAUUGUCAUGGACUGGGGCAAUCCAUGACAAAACAGGCUCUUGAGGAGCUGAUAGGAAAACAUCGCCCAUCCAUUGUCUUUCUUUCGGAAACUCGAAUGAAGGACAAGAUAUUAAAAGUCUAAGAUUGAAGUGUAAGUUCUCCCAUGGAAUUACAGUGAAGCCAGUCAAUACCGCUGGUGGGCUGGCACUAUGGUGGGAUAACAAUGUUAUAGUUCAAAUACUCUCUAAAUCCAAAUUUCUGAUUGAUACAGUGGUCAAGUUCAAGUCUGACGAUUCUUUAGUUCGGUUUUCUUGGUUCUAUGGACCACCCGACAAGAUUCGGCCUGGAUUUUGGAAUAGGUGUGCUAACUUGGCUGGUUCUAUGGAUCUCCCAUGGUUGUGUGCUGGUGAUUUUAAUGAAUUCUUAUGGCCUCAUGAAAAGGAGGGUGGUAACCCUUGGAAUCCAGGUAAAAGGCGUUUUCUACGCGAGUUUAUGGAGGCUAAUGAUUUGAUCGAGCUUCAAUCAAAGGGUCAAAAGCUUACUUGGUGUAACAACUGGCCAGAAGGAGGUCUAAUUAAGAUCAAGCUGGAUAGAGGGGUGGUAAACACAAGGUGGUUGGAGAGGUGGCCAGAUUCUAGUGUCUUCAAUCAUCCUCGGUUGGGGUCUGAUCACUGUGCUCUUAUCUUUGACUCUAAUCCACCAAUGGUUCGGGGGGCCUAAAUUAUUUAAAUUUGAACCAAUGUGGCUUGAUGAUCCGGAGUGUAGGGGUAUUGUGGAGGCCUCUUGGACCGACAACUCUCCAACUAUUGGAGCUGCCCAAUGGGUCACAAGAAGUCAAAGAUGUGGUGUGGAGUUAUCCAAGUGGAGCAAGAAGAAGUUCUCUAACAAUCAUAUGGCUAUUAAUAGAAGAAUAGAGGAACUUCAAGUCAUACAGGAGUCUACAACAGUAGAAGCUCGUAACAUAGAGUCCCUUUUAAUUGGAGAAAUUGGUGCUUUUUGGAACAAGGAGGAGAAAUACUGGACACAACGUGCAAGAGUCAACUGGCUAAAAGCUGGGGACUCAAAUACAAAAUUUUUUCAUUUGACAACCAUCCAAAGAAGGCAACGGAACAAAAUCCUCAAGCUUAAAUCUACCAAUGAUGUAUGGCUGGAUCGGGAGGGUACUAUUCGAUCAGAAGUGGAGAAUUAUUUCAAGAAUAUUUUCAAGAGUUCUGGUGAGAGACUGGGAUGAGGCUUUACAGGCAGUUUCUCAUGUGGUUAGCCUGGAGAUGAAUUGCUCUCUAACUAAAGAUUUCUCUGUUGAAGAGAUUAAAGAUGCUGCUUUCCAAAUGGGGGGUGACAAAGCUGCAGGCCCUGAUGGCUUUCAUGGGAUAUUUUUUUAGAAAUUUUGGAGCAUCAUUAACGAGACUAUGAGGGCGACUGCAAAGGAAUUUCAUGAUACUGCAAAUAUCAUUUCAGAUUUGAACAAGACAAACAUUGUUCUCAUUCCAAAGGUCCCUUGCCCAGAGAAGGUUGAUCAAUUCCGCCCGAUUAGUCUUUGCAAUUACUCAUACAAGGUUCUUUCCAAAAUGCUUGCAAACCGUUUGAAAGAGUUUUUGCCAAGUAUUAUUUCUCCUCAUCAGUGUGCUUUUGUUCCGGGUCGCCAGAUUCAAGAUAAUAUUUUGGUAGCACAUGAGGCUUUUCAUUAUUUGAAGCUGAGAAAAACGGGAGGCAUUCAAGAACUGGCACUAAAAUUAGAUAUGAGCAAGGCAUAUGAUAGGGUGGAGUGAGACUUUCUUGAAGAGGUUCUUACCUGUAUGGGUUUCUCCAAUGGUUUUGUUCUUUUGAUUACGGCUUGUGUUAAGUCUGUGUCCUUUGCUGUUACCCUAAAUGGAAAGGUAGGGGAGUAUUUCAAGCCUUCAAGAGGUUUGAGACAAGGGGACCCGAUCUCUCCCUACUUGUUCUUAUUUGUUUCAGAUGUCUUCUCCUCUCUUAUCAGAAGAGCUUGUGAAGCCAGAACUCUUCAGGGUAUCAAGCUUAGUGAGUAUGGUCCGACUUUGUCGCACCUAUUUUUUGCUGAUGACUCUCUUUUCUUCCUAUCGGCCACAUCUGCUAAUUGCUAUGAGAUUAUGCGUAUUAUUGAAGUGUAUUGUGUUGCCUCAGGUCAGCUUGUCAACCACAAUAAGUCAACUCUCUAUUGUACGCCUAACAUGUCUGAUGCUUGUGUUCAUGUACUCUGUGAAAUUCUGGGAAUACCUGCCACUAUCAAUCCUGGGCGAUACCUUGGUCUCCCUACCAUUUGGGGCAGAUCUAAAAAAGCUUCCCUCUCUUUUAUCAAAUCAAAGUUGGCUGAUAAGAUCCAAAACUGGAAACUUUGCACUUUAUCUAUGGCAGGGAGGGAAACCCUAAUCAAAGCGGUGGCUCAAGCUGUUCCUACUUUCCCCAUGCAUUGUUUCAAGUUUCCGAUCACUUUGUGCAAUGAACUAGAUGCUAUGAUGGCUAAUUUUUGGUGGGGCCAGCAUAAAGAUGAGCAUAAAAUUCAUUGGAAAAGUUGGGAUUUCCUUGGUCAGCCUAAAGACCGUGGUGGCAUGGGUUUUAGAAAUAUGAAGGAGUUUAACAUCUCCCUCCUAGCAAAGCAGGUUUGGAGACUACAUUCUGAGCCUACCUCUUUAUGUGCUCGAAUUCUAAAAGGAAUCUACUAUCCUAGUACCGAUAUCCUAAAUGCCGGAAAGGGAUCUCGUGCAUCGUGGGCGUGGAGCAGUCUUUUGGAUGGUAAAGAUCUAAUUGUUGAUGGGGCUAGAUGGCAGGUUGGGAAUGGGGAGCUCAUUAACAUUUGGGCUGACAAGUGGAUUCCUACCUCCACCAAUGGGUUCUUGUGCCCUAUGCUUCCUGUGAAUUGCUCUAGUCCCCACAUGGUGAAGGAUCUGACUGAUUGGGGUGCUAGAUGUUGGAAGCUGGAAAUGAUAAAUGAUCUAAUUUCAAAGGAUGAUCAAUCAGACAUUGAGUUGAUAGUCUUGGGUGACCAAUCUAUGUUAGAUAGAAUUAUUUGGCCUGAGACAAAGAGUGGCCAGUACUCUGUAAAGUCAGGUUAUCACUUUCUACAUUCCCAAGACUGCAAGCCUACUACGCAACAUGCUCAUUCAUCUCACAGGUUGAAUCAUAUUGUGUGGAAGACGGUUUGGUCUACUCAAACUACUCCUAAGAUUACUAAUUUCCUAUGGAGAAUCUUGGCUAAUGCUCUUCCAUCUUACCUAAAUCUUCACAAAAGGAAAAUAAUCCCUUCCCCCUUGUGCCCUGUGUGUGAUAUGUUUCCGGAGUCUAUUGAGCAUAUCUUUCUUCAGUGCCCGGGUGCAGUGUGUGCUUGGUUUGCUUCUGAUUUGUAUUACAAGAUCAACUUGUAAACAAUCAGUACCUUUGAUUUGUGGUUUGAAAACAUUAUUCUCAUGAUGAAAGACUACAAAACAAUCAAAGAGGAGUUUCUCACCAAAGUUGCUUUUCUUCUGUGGGAGAUUUGGAAAGCUAGGAAUGCUUUUGUCUAUGAAGCUGCUACAAUUGACCCAAGCUUAAUCGCCAGGAAAGCUAAUUUGGCUGCAGCUGAAUUCAUCACCUGCAAAAACCACAAGGUCAUUUCAAAUUCAAUGCCGGUAUCUCAUUUGCACUCUCGGCAGUCUCAGAGUAAUCACCCAAACCAUGGUAGGACUUCUAUCUCCCUUUCCCCCACUGUGAGUAAUGUGACAGAAAUUUGGAGCCCCCCUCCUCCUGGUCAUUUUAAAAUAAAUUGUGAUGCAGCAUGGAUAGAGAGUUCAAAGCUUACCGGUAUCAGUGCUUUAGCGCGUGAUUGUCAUGGUACUCUCUUUGAUGGAGCUACCUUGUUGUGUCGAGCGGGAUCAGUGUUAGAGGCGGAAGCAGCGGCUGCGGUGGUGGCUAUUGAGGUGGCCAAACGUCUCCCUCCCUCUCCGAUCAUCCUCGAGUCAGAUUCAAAAGCCUUAGUGGACCAGAUAAACAAUUCAAAGUUUCCAUGUAAUUGGAAAAUUGCUCCUGUUGUGACUAUGAUUCAGAAUUCAAUUACCUCGAACCCGCGUCUAGCUUGGUUUUGGAUUUCAAGAAAAGCGAACUCUGCAGCCGAUUUGGUUGCCUCGCUAGUAGUGAGGAAGAAGUGCCCGGAGGUCUGGAUUGAUCGCCCGCCUUCUUCCCUUGUGUUUGUUCUUUCUCGUGAUGGUUUGCCGUGCCCUCCGCCUUCUAUCUUGGAUAUUGGAAGCCCAUGACUCAGCCGAGGUCCUGGUUGCUCUAUUUUCCUCGGCGUCGGAGAUCCUUUCCUUUGCUGUGUCGUCCUUUUCCUUUUCUCCCAGUUUCGUUGUUUUUUCUCUUUUUUUCUUCAGGUGUCCUUGUCUGGCCGUUUCAGUUGGCUUUGACUAGGUUUGUUAUUUGCUUGGGCUUUGGUCUUGGCCUUGUUUGUAUUUGUUUCUCUUGCCUUGGGCUUGUUUAUUGAAGUUUCAUUUGUACCAAAAAAAAAAAAGACGCUAUAGGAAUAGUGCGACUUUUCUCGUCUACCAAAAAAAAACCAAAGGUAGCUUCUUUCUAGUAAAACAUGCAUUUUUCCCUUUUUCUAUUAUAUUUUAGUUGACAUUAUUUUUUAUUUUAUUUUUUACAAUGUAAAGAUUUAAAUAUAGGAUUAAAGAGUAGGAAAUUUACCUAUAUACUAAACCUUGGUCUACUGUAUAAAAUACUGUUCAUAAGAAUGUCAACAAUGUAUGCGGGCGAUUGUACUCUCUAGAUUGCUGAAAUUCCGGAUUUGCCCUCCUUUUUUGUCUUAAUAUCAGUUUCGCCAUUAAAUCUAAAUAUAAAAGCCUAUGUCGUCUAGCAAGAGACCAGAUCCAGUGAGAUCAACUUCCCUCUCUCUCUCUCUCUCUCUCUCUCUCUCGAAUCUUCCAGCAUGUCUCUCCCGCGAAUCUUCCAGCAUGGGUUUUGGUUCCGGUGAUCCCUGCGUGUGGUAAUAACGCACUGCCUCUCUACCUUCUUUUUUCCUCUUCAGCUCCUUGCUGUUGUCAUCUGCCGCCUCUACUCAUCUGG